rnacentral:rRNA from 1 species
GAUGAACGCUGGCGGCGUGCCUAACACAUGCAAGUCGAACGGAGUUAUUAUUAUGAAGUUUUCGGAUGGAUUAAUAAUAACUUAGUGGCGGACGGGUGAGUAACGCGUGUGUAACCUGCCUCAUACAGGGGGCUAACAGUUGGAAACGGCUGCUAAAACAGCAUAGCAUUUCGAUGUCGCAUGACAAUGCAAUUAAAUAUUUAAAGGUAUAGGCUCGGCCCGCGUCGGAUUAGCUAGUUGGUGGGGAAAUGGCCUACCAAGGCGACGAUCAGUAGCCGGGUGAAGAGAGUGAACGGCCACAUUGGGACUGCGACACGGCCGAAACUCCUACGGGAGGCAGCAGUGGGGAAUAUUGCACAAUGGGGGGAACCCUAAUGCAGCGACGCCGCGUGAGUGAAGAAGUAUUUCGGUAUGUAAAGCUCUAUCAGCAGGGAAGAAAAUGACGGUACCUGACUAAGAAGCCCCGGCUAACUACGUGCCAGCCGCCGCCGUAA